GCAGCAAUGGCGCAUACCAUGACUCCCCUUUCAACAGCGCAAAACACAACCUCCAUUCUGAAGAUUGCUCCAAAAUCCCCAACUCUGAAGAACAGCAGCGACCUUUCUCUGGGAGCCAAAUGCGACACCAGGAGGUCAGUGAAGUAUAUGUAUAUUCAGUUCAAUUUCUCUUUCUGAAUGUGUUUGUGUUUCUCCCCUUCUUAGAACUUCGAUGUAUUGCUGUAACAGGGCACUUGUAUGUGGCUUGAUUGCUGCUGGUGCUGGUGCAAUGCUGGGACCUGACAUUGCUUCUGCUGCGUCUAAGAGACGGCCUCCGCCGCCUUCGCCGACGGAGGAGAAGAAAGACCCGAACGUUAGCGGCGUGCAGGCUAAGGUGCUUGCCAGCAAGAGGAGGAAGGAGGCCAUGAAGGAAGCUGUGGCCAAGUUGAGGGAGAAAGGGAAGCCUGUUGAUAAGUGAAGGGCAGAACCACAGAACAAGUAGCCUUUGGUUCCAGCCUGCUUUUUCUCCUCUCGUUCGCUGCUGGCCCUGCUGCUGUGCGUUUCUGCAUCAAUAAUUUCGUUGCACAAUUUUCCCAGUUUUUAUAAUUUUCAAUGGGUUGCUUAAUUUUCACUGGAAAAUUUACGGCUU
rnacentral:lncRNA from 1 species